GUCAGGAUGGCGCAGCGGUCAGCGUAUCUGCCUUGCAAGCAGGUGACCUGGGUUCGAAUCCCAGUGUGGCA